GAUUAUGUAUAAAUAGAUGUACAAUGAGGGCUUAGUACAAGCCCGUCUUCUAGGUGGCGCCUUGCCCGUUCUGAAUUUUUGUAUUCCCCUACGAUUUUCUUUGAGGGGAAUCCGUUAAACCCGCCCAUCGUUCAAAAAUGGAAGGGCGCGAGGUCACAUCUAUUGGGCCACUUAUUAGCACGUUUCACCCAUGUUUUACGAAAAUAGCUUUAUCCUUGUUUGUUUCAACUGUGACAAGAAAAAAGGAAAAAAAGUUAUAUUCGCUUCUAAAUUCGGCAGUUUUGUUGAUCUUUCUCGACUUGUAAUUUCGUUUCGUUUAGGUUAUGUCUUAUAAAAAUAAAUAUUUAUAAGCUUUUGAAUUGAAAUAUACCUUAAUGCAUAUCUGAGUAAUUAAAAAAUUCAGUUUUUUCGUCCCUCGCGAAGAAACAUAAACAGUAUUUGUGAAAUUUGGAUUAGAAACUAUUAUUUUAUUAGUUUAUUUUGUUGUGUUUAAGUGUUGUGUAUUUGUACCUACUGGAUAAUAUUUUCCAACAUAUUUAAUUAAGCAAAAAGCAUCUGUUUUACAGGUGUGACUGCUAAGUGGUCGUACUCGCCACUUUAACCAAGCAUUGGUGGGACCUUCAGAGAUCAUAAUGCGAAUUUCUUCAUACCAUGUAAAUCUAUAUACAUGUAUUAAUAAAUGCGUUUGCUUUA